rnacentral:rRNA from 1 species
GACGUAGGUGGCGAACGUUAUCCGGAUUUAUUGGGCGUAAAGGAUGCGUAGACGGUAACACAAGUUACUACUUGACGUCGAGCUCAACUUGACUGAAAUUAGUAAUACUAUUUUGCUAGAGAUUGGGAGAAGUUGAUGGAAAUCUAUGUGGAGGGGUGAAAUUCGUAGAUAUUGGGAAGAACACCGGUGGCGAAGGCGGCGACCUGGUCCUUUACUGACGCUGAGGCGCGAAAGCGUGGGGAGCAAACAGG